rnacentral:misc_RNA from 1 species
UUUCCGUAGGUGAACCUGCGGAAGGAUCAUUAAAAAUGGAGCCGGGAAACCGGUCCUUCUAACCCUUGAUUAUCUUAAUUUGUUGCUUUGGUGGGCCGCGCAAGCACCGGCUUCGGCUGGAUCGUGCCCGCCAGAGGACACAACUCUGUAUCAAAUGUCGUCUGAGUACUAUAAAAUAGUUAAAACUUUCAACAACGGAUCUCUUGGUUCUG